rnacentral:sRNA from 1 species
GCUCCGGCGGGCGGACUCGGAGCGGGCGGCGGAGUGACCCGGACAGCUGUCCUCUCUGACACCACCCCGGCCUGCCUCUUUGUUGCCAUGAGAGCUGCCUACCUCUUCCUGCUAUUCCUGCCUGCAGGCUUGCUGGCUCAGGGCCAGUAUGACCUGGACCCGCUGCCGCCGUUCCCUGACCACGUCCAGUACACCCACUAUAACGACCAGAUCGACAACCCAGACUACUAUGAUUAUCAAGGUAACGGGCUAGGGGUAGGAUAGGACGGGCCGGCAGCUGGGGUGGGGAGACCCCCUGGGAAGGGUAGAGGGAGCAGACCCCCUUAUCCUCCCCUGGCUGCAGAGGUGACUUCUCGGCCCUCCGAGGAACAGUUCCAGUCCCAGCAGCAAGUCCAACAGAAAGUCAUCCCAGCCCCAACCCCAGAACCAGGAAAUGCAGAGCUGGAGCCCACAGAGCCUGGGCCUCUUGACUGCCGUGAGGAACAGUACCCGUGCACCCGCCUCUACUCCAUACACAGGCCUUGCAAACAGUGUCUCA